rnacentral:rRNA from 1 species
GACGAACGCUGGCGGCGUGCUUAACACAUGCAAGUCGAACGGAAAGGCCUCUUUCGGGGGGUACUCGAGUGGCGAACGGGUGAGUAACACGUGAGUAACCUGCCCUUGACUUUGGGAUAACUUCAGGAAAAUGGGGCUAAUACCGGAUAUGAGCUCCUGCUGCAUGGUGGGGGUUGGAAAGUUUCGGCGGUUGGGGAUGGACUCGCGGCUUAUCAGCUUGUUGGGGGGGUAGUGGCUUACCAAGGCUUUGGCGGAUAGCCGGCAUGAGGGGGGGACCGGCCCAAUUGGGACUGAGGUAGGGCCCAGAGUGCAACGGGGGGCAACGGGGGGAAAUCUUGCCCAGUGGGGGGACGUGUGAGGCGGACACGCCGGGGGGGGAAAGACGGUCUUUGGGUUGUAAAACGCUUUCGCUUAUGACGAAGCUUUUUGGAGGGGACCGGGGUAAAAAGCACCGGCUAACCUCGUG